rnacentral:rRNA from 1 species
CUCCUACGGGAGGCAGCAGUGGGGAAUAUUGCACAAUGGGCGGAAGCCUGAUGCAGCAACGCCGCGUGCGGGAUGACGGCCUUCGGGUUGUAAACCGCUUUCGCCUGUGACGAAGCGUGAGUGACGGUAAUGGGUAAAGAAGCACCGGCUAACUACGUGCCAGCAGCCGCGGUGAUACGUAGGGUGCGAGCGUUGUCCGGAUUUAUUGGGCGUAAAGGGCUCGUACGUGGUUGAUCGCGUCGGAAGUGUAAUCUUGGGGCUUAACCCUGAGCGUGCUUUCGAUACGGGUUGACUUGAGGAAGGUAGGGGAGAAUGGAAUUCCUGGUGGAGCGGUGGAAUGCGCAGAUAUCAGGAGGAACACCAGUGGCGAAGGCGGUUCUCUGGGCCUUUCCUGACGCUGAGGAGCGAAAGCGUGGGGAGCGAACAGGCUUAGAUACCCUGGUAGUCCACGCUGUAAACGGUGGGUACUAGGUGUGGGGUCCAUUCCACGGGUUCCGUGCCGUAGCUAACGCUUUAAGUACCCCGCCUGGGGAGUACGGCCGCAAGGCUAAAACUCAAAGGAAUUGACGGGGCCCCGCACAAGCGGCGGAGCAUGCGGAUUAAUUCGAUGCAACGCGUAGAACCUUACCUGGGUUUGACAUGGAUCGGGAGUGCCCAGAGAUGGGUGUGCCUCUUUUGGGGUCGGUUCACAGGUGGUGCAUGGCUGUCGUCAGCUCGUGUCGUGAGAUGUUGGGUUAAGUCCCGCAACGAGCGCAACCCUUGUUCACUGUUGCCAGCACGUUAUGGUGGGGACUCAGUGGAGACCGCCGGGGUCAACUCGGAGGAAGGUGGGGAUGACGUCAAGUCAUCAUGCCCCUUAUGUCCAGGGCUUCACGCAUGCUACAAUGGCUGGUACAGAGAGUGGCGAGCCUGUGAGGGUGAGCGAAUCUCGGAAAGCCGGUCUCAGUUCGGAUUGGGGUCUGCAACUCGACCUCACGAAGUCGGAGUCGCUAGUAAUCGCAGAUCAGCAACGCUGCGGUGAAUACGUUCCAGGGGCUUGCACACACCGCCCGU